rnacentral:rRNA from 1 species
AUUGAACGCUGGCGGCAGGCCUAACACAUGCAAGUCGAACGGUAACAGGAAGAAGCUUGCUUCUUUGCUGACGAGUGGCGGACGGGUGAGUAAUGUCUGGGAAACUGCCUGAUGGAGGGGGAUAACUACUGGAAACGGUAGCUAAUACCGCAUAACGUCGCAAGACCAAAGAGGGGGACCUUCGGGCCUCUUGCCAUCGGAUGUGCCCAGAUGGGAUUAGCUAGUAGGUGGGGUAACGGCUCACCUAGGCGACGAUCCCUAGCUGGUCUGAGAGGAUGACCAGCCACACUGGAACUGAGACACGGUCCAGACUCCUACGGGAGGCAGCAGUGGGGAAUAUUGCACAAUGGGCGCAAGCCUGAUGCAGCCAUGCCGCGUGUAUGAAGAAGGCCUUCGGGUUGUAAAGUACUUCCAGCGGGGAGGAAGGGAGUAAAGUUAAUACCUUUGCUCAUUGACGUUACCCGCAGAAGAAGCACCGGCUAACUCCGU